CUGGUGGCGAGUGGCGAACGGGUGAGUAAUGUAUCGGAACGUGCUCAGUAGCGGGGGAUAACUACGCGAAAGCGUAGCUAAUACCGCAUACGCCCUACGGGGGAAAGCAGGGGAUCGCAAGACCUUGCACUAUUGGAGCGGCCGAUAUCGGAUUAGCUAGUUGGUGGGGUAACGGCUCACCAAGGCGACGAUCCGUAGCUGGUUUGAGAGGACGACCAGCCACACUGGGACUGAGACACGGCCCAGACUCCUACGGGAGGCAGCAGUGGGGAAUUUUGGACAAUGGGGGAAACCCUGAUCCAGCCAUCCCGCGUGUGCGAUGAAGGCCUUCGGGUUGUAAAGCACUUUUGGCAGGAAAGAAACGUCAUGGGCUAAUACCCCGUGAAACUGACGGUACCUGCAGAAUAAGCACCGGCUAACUACGUGCCAGCAGCCGCGGUAAUACGUAGGGUGCAAGCGUUAAUCGGAAUUACUGGGCGUAAAGCGUGCGCAGGCGGUUCGGAAAGAAAGAUGUGAAAUCCCAGAGCUUAACUUUGGAACUGCAUUUUUAACUACCGGGCUAGAGUGUGUCAGAGGGAGGUGGAAUUCCGCGUGUAGCAGUGAAAUGCGUAGAUAUGCGGAGGAACACCGAUGGCGAAGGCAGCCUCCUGGGAUAACACUGACGCUCAUGCACGAAAGCGUGGGGAGCAAACAGG
rnacentral:rRNA from 1 species